rnacentral:rRNA from 1 species
GACAGAGGUGCCAAGCGUUAGGCGGAAUCACUGGGCUUAAAGCGUGUGUAGGCGGACUUCUAAGUACCUUGUGAAAUCCCACGGCUCAACCGUGGAGCUGCUUGGUAUACUGGUUGUCUUGAGCCACUUAGGGGCUACCGGAACAAAUGGUGGAGCGGUGAAAUGCGUAGAUAUCAUUUGGAACGCCAAUGGUGAAAACAGGUAGCUGGGAGUGUGCUGACGCUGAGACACGAAAGCCAGGGGAGCGAACGGG